rnacentral:rRNA from 1 species
UGGGGAAUCUUGGACAAUGGGCGCAAGCCUGAUCCAGCCAUGCCGCGUGAGUGAUGAAGGCCUUAGGGUUGUAAAACUCUUUCGCCGAGGACGAUAAUGACGGUACUCGGAGAAGAAGCUCCGGCUAACUUCGUGCCAGCAGCCGCGGUAAUACGAAGGGGGCUAGCGUUGUUCGGAUUUACUGGGCGUAAAGCGCGUGUAGGCGGGUCGUUAAGUUGGGGGUGAAAUCCCGAGGCUCAACCUCGGAACUGCCUCCAAAACUGGCGACCUGGAGCAAGAUAGAGGCGAGUGGAAUUCCGAGUGUAGAGGUGAAAUUCGUAGAUAUUCGGAGGAACACCAGUGGCGAAGGCGACUCGCUGGAUCUUUGCUGACGCUGAGACGCGAAAGCGUGGGGAGCAAACAGGAUUAGAUACCCCCGUAGUCCCUGAGCGGGCUGGCAAGGCGCAU